rnacentral:rRNA from 1 species
GAUGAACGCUGGCGGCGUGCCUAAUACAUGCAAGUCGAGCGAACGGACGAGAAGCUUGCUUCUCUGAUGUUAGCGGCGGACGGGUGAGUAACACGUGGAUAACCUACCUAUAAGACUGGGAUAACUUCGGGAAACCGUAGCUAAUACCGGAUAAUAUUUUGAACCGCAUGGUUCAAAAGUGAAAGACGGUCUUGCUGUCACUUAUAGAUGGAUCCGCGCUGCAUUAGCUAGUUGGUAAGGUAACGGCUUACCAAGGCAACGAUGCAUAGCCGACCUGAGAGGGUGAUCGGCCACACUGGAACUGAGACACGGUCCAGACUCCUACGGGAGGCAGCAGUAGGGAAUCUUCCGCAAAGGGCGAAAGCCUGACGGAGCAACGCCGCGUGAGUGAUGAAGGUCCUCGGAUCGUAAAACUCUGUUAUUAGGGAAGAACAUAUGUGUAAGUAACUGUGCACAUCUUGACGGUACCUAAUCAGAAAGCCACGGCUAACUACGUG